AUGGGUCUAUAUGAUUCUCAUG
rnacentral:miRNA from 1 species